AACCCCCCCGUGGGCCCCACGGCUCCGCGCCCCCCAAGUCGGAGCCCCCCAAGUCGGAGUCGGGGGUCCCGCCGGAGCCGCCCCCCCCCACCCGCUGGGCCCCAUUUCAGGUGGGGGGCGACUGCACACAGCGCUGCUACUGCAAACACCGCGACCCCCCCCGGCUGCCCCACAACGUCAGAGCGUGGUUGGCUCGGAUGAAGGCGGUGCCCCCCGAAAUCCUCCGAGGGGGCGGAAAGGACGGAGGUGCUGCCCCAUAAGUUGGAGCUGCCGCCCCAUAAGUUGGAGCUGCCGCCCCAUAAGUCAGCGUGGAGACCCUAUGAGUUGGAAUAGCUGCCCCAUAAGUCAGCAUGGAUGCCCCCUAAGUUGGAACUGCCGCCCCAUAAGUUGGAACUACCGCCCCAUAAGUUGGAACGGAUGCCCCAUAAGUCAGCGUCGAUGCCCCAUAAGUUGGAACUGCCACCCCAUAAGUUGGAAUGGCUGCCCCAUAAGUUGGCGUGGAUACCCUAUAAGUUGGAGUAGCUGCCCCAUAAGUCAGCAUGGAUGCCCCCUAAGUUGGAACUGCCACCCCAUAAGUUGGAACUGCCGUCCCAUAAGUCAGCAUGGAUGCCCCAGAAGUUGAAAAAGCUGCCCCAUAAGUUGGAAUGGCUGCCCCAUAAGUCGGCGUGGAUACCCUAUAAAUUGGAAUAGCUGCCCCAUAAGUCAGCAUGGAUGCCCCAUAAGUUGGAACAGCCGCCCCAUAAGUUGGAACAGCUCCCCCAUGAGUCAGCAUGGAGACCCUAUAAGUUGGAAUAGCUGCCCCAUAAAUCAGCAUGGAUGCCCCAUAAGUUGGAACAGCUGCCCCAUAAGUUGGAACGGAUGCCCCAUAAGUCAGCAUGGAUGCCCCAGAAGUUGGAACUGCCACCCCAUAAGUUGGAACGGCUGCCCCCUAAGUUGGAACGGCCGCCCCACAAGUUGGAAUCGCCGCCCCAUAAGCUGGCAUCGCCCCCACCCCCAAACCCACAUUAAAAGUUGGGGCACAGC